rnacentral:rRNA from 1 species
UGGGGAUUAUUGCACAAUGGGCGCAAGCCUGAUGCAGCCAUGCCGCGUGUGUGAAGAAGGCCUUCGGGUUGUAAAGUACUUUCAGUCGGGAGGAAGGUGUCAAGGUUAAUAACCUUGGCAAUUGACGUUACCGACAGAAGAAGCACCGGCUAACUCCGUGCCAGCAGCCGCGGUAAUACGGAGGGUGCAAGCGUUAAUCGGAAUUACUGGGCGUAAAGCGCACGCAGGCGGUUGAUUGAGUCAGAUGUGAAAUCCCCGGGCUUAACCCGGGAAUUGCAUCUGAUACUGGUCAGCUAGAGUCUUGUAGAGGGGGGUAGAAUUCCAUGUGUAGCGGUGAAAUGCGUAGAGAUGUGGAGGAAUACCGGUGGCGAAGGCGGCCCCCUGGACAAAGACUGACGCUCAGGUGCGAAAGCGUGGGGAGCAAACAGG